ACUCCUACGGGAGGCAGCAGUGGGAAUAUUGCACAAUGGGCGCAAGCCUGAUGCAGCCAUGCCGCGUGUGUGAAGAAGGCCUUCGGGUUGUAAAGCACUUUCAGUAAAGGAGGAAAGGUUAGUCACUAAUAUUUGGGCUAGCUGNGACGUUACUUACAGAAGAAAGCACCGGCUAACUCCGUGCCAGCAGCCGCGGUAAUACGGAGGGUGCGAGCGUUAAUCGGAAUUACUGGGCGUAAAGCGUACGCAGGCGGUUUGUUAAGCGAGAUGUGAAAGCCCGC
rnacentral:rRNA from 1 species